CAGGGGCAAAAAUGAUCUUUCAAUAGAAAUUAAUUUCCAAUAAUUACAUAUUACACAACAGAAUAUAUGGCCAAUAUCAAGGCUUCAAUUUCUUUUCUGUAUACGUAUAUAUUAUUUAUCACCAUUAAUUUUUACAACACUAGUAAAAAUAUGCAAUGUGAAAUCUCAUCAGAAUGGUAGGAGUAUCUAAAGCUGUGUGUAUAUGAGUACGAGUCCCAAGGAGUACCUAAGUAUAGAAACCAAGGUAGAGAAAUUGACAGCAGGAACAUGAAGCAUUCAAAGAAUGUUUGUCAGAUCUAGCAGCAUGCUCUUGAUCAGGCAACUAAAGCCCCGAUUAGGUACCAAGUACUACUAUCAGGACAAUUCCAUAAUGAAAAAUCAUAUCAAAUAUCCAGUUUCAGCUAUUCCGCAGUGUUGCCAUCUUCCGUCCGACUGCCCAAUUUGACAAUGUCUUCAACAAGAAUCUUCCCAUCU
rnacentral:lncRNA from 1 species